UACAGAGGGUGCAAGCGUUGUUCGGAAUUACUGGGCGUAAAGGGCGCGUAGGCGGCCUGCUAAGUCGAACGUGAAAUCCCCGGGCUCAACCCGGGAACUGCGUCCGAUACUGGCAGGCUUGAAUCCGGGAGAGGGAUGCGGAAUUCCAGGUGUAGCGGUGAAAUGCGUAGAUAUCUGGAGGAACACCGGUGGCGAAGGCGGCAUCCUGGACCGGCAUUGACGCUGAGGCGCGAAAGCCAGGGGAGCAAACGGG
rnacentral:rRNA from 1 species